ensembl:lncRNA
GCAGAGAGCAGGGAUUCGUGCAGGAGGGGAAAUGCCAGAACAGAGAUCCAGGGCCCUGGAGAGGAGGCAGAAUGAACAAGUGCAGAGGUCAACAGCCAGGAACACACAUCAGGUGUGUGUGAAUGUGUCCAUGGAAGUAAUUGUAACUACUGGAAUAGGUACACAGCACUGAACUCUUGACAGAGACACCCCUUUGAUGCUGCACAGGAGGCUCAGUCUUAUCUCACAUGCAAGGACACAGGUUAAGUAACUUGCCUCUGGUCAUCCAUCAGUAGAGUCAGAGUCAGAUGGUAGGUCUUUGAGAUGAACUCAGAGAGAGAACCAUUUGGAGGCUUUGAUGAAUUGGUUUUCUCAGCCCUGGGCAUGAUUUCUGCUUAGAAUAAUUGGAGACGACCUGGAACAAGUCAGGCCUGCAUGGUGGAUAGAGCUGAGAAAAAUCAGGAAGAAAAAGAUCUUGUGAACAGAGGAAGUAAGAGUCAACAUAUAUUAACUAAGUUGAGUAAGGUGGCCAACAGCUGGGGAAGAAGCUGAGGUGCUCUGCAUGCCAACAAUGUCUGUGCCCCAGAGCAGCCGCAAACUCCCACGUUCUUUCUCCCCUGGCUAUCCAAGAGUGGAUUGGCUGCAGGUACCUUAUCAGAGUGAGAAAAUGAAGAAAACAGGAAAAGAUGAUGGGUCUGAAGAGUGCUCAUCUACACUAAAGGCUUAUCAUAUGCCUACAGACUAGUCAUCAUUGGGAAACAGCUGGAAUAUCAGGCCAAGAGCACAGGAGUGGGAAACAGAGGAGCUUCCAGUCCCAGCUCUGCUCUGUCACCCCGAGAAAAUCCCUCCGCCUGUCUAAGCCACACGUUCACAUGUGUAGAUAAGGACACCAGCACUCCCCAUGGUGGUGUGAGGUCAGAUGAAAUGAUGUGCAUGAAGUUUCUGGGUACAGUAAACAACGCACUGGACAAAGGAAAGGCAUAUCUACUCUGCUUUUCUCUCUCUCCUGGGCUUCCCUGGUGGCUCAGAUGGUAACGAAUUUGCCGGCAAUGUGGGAGACCUGGGUUCGAUCCCUGGAUUGGGAAGAUCCCCUGGAGGAGGGCAUGGCAACCCACUCCAGUAUUCUUGCCUGGAGAAUCCCCAUGGACAGAGGAGCCUGGCAGGCUACAGUCCAUGGGGUCGCAAAGAGUCGGACAAGACUGAGUGACUCAGCACAACAUUCCCCUCUCUCCCACCACAGUGCACAAAGGCACAUUUUAGGAAACCUUGGAAUUGAUGAGCCAGCACCUUCCAACCAGCGGGGAUAGGCCUACGACUUCAAGGCUGUUAGCACAACAACAAAGGGAAACACAGAAAGAGGAGACUACGUCCAUGUAGUCUGGGAGAUAGACAGGAGGGCACUAAAAAAAAAGAAAAACUCAGGAUCCCAGACAGAAAACUUACCCUCAGGUCCAGGCCAUUCAGCUGCUUCUGCAAAUUCCCUGAGUCAGAAUCAAGUGUGCAGCAAGUUAGGGGAACAAG